rnacentral:rRNA from 1 species
GGGUCAUUAGGUUGGUCGUGCCACCGGUACGUACUGGUCUCACUGAUUCCUCCUUCCUGAAGAACCGUAAUGCCAUUAAUUUGGUGUUGCGGGGAAACAGGACUGUUACUUUGAAAAAAUUAGAGUGUUUAAAGCAAGCUAACGCUUGAAUACAUUAGCAUGGAGUAAUGAAAUAGGACGAUCGAUCCUAUUUUGUUGGUUUCUAGGAUUGACGUA